GAGGCAGGCUCACUGUGAGCGGUGACUGGCGUGCCUGAGUCUGUGGAGGGAGAGCACACUCCCAGGCAUCAACUCACAUGACGCAGAUUUGAUACUUGUGGAUAGGCAGCAAGGAACAACAGGAGUUUGUGGGAGCUGCUUCCUCGAGACUCAGAAAGCUGCCGGGGUGGAUGGAGCUUUGACUGUGUGUGCCCCCGUUGUGCUGUAGAUGAGGGACCCUGAAAAGCAGCCCACCCUGGGUUUUACACCACGGGGGAACAUGAUGCAAGGAGCUCCAGAAUUGAAGGACGUCCCGUUUCUAGGGGAGGGUGGGAACAGAGCCUGAGAAUUCCAGCCUGCUCACCCUUAUCUCAGAGUGUUGCAUUCCCAGGACAUCUUCCAAGGCCACCUGGAGAGCUGUCCUGCAGUGACACACCUCAGCUUACCCAGCGUAGAAGUGAGGGGCUCAGAUUCAGCAUCCGCAGCUAUCCCCAAAUGCCGUGAUUAUUAUUCCACCAUCCAAGGCUCACAGUGAGUUAACUGUUUUCUUUCUCCUGUCAUUCAGGAGCCCAAGGGUGGUGGCUUCAGCACCCUAGGAAAUGUGCCAGCAAGGUCUACAGUAUCAGCAACUUUACCUCUCCCUCCCAAAGCUUUCUGGAGUGCUUAGUAGAAGACAGAGGACUCUAAAGUGUGAAUGUGGAAUGGAAAUCGAGGCCACUGGGAACGGCUGCGUCGAAGAGUAACUUGGGAACGCAUAGGGAUUCACAGGAUAGAUAUUGUCUGGAUAUCAGGGCGAAAUGUUAAUUAGGGAUCAAAAUGUCCUUUUAAAUUAGCUAUGUUGAAGAGAAAGGAGAAGACCAGGAAACAGAAGAAAGAUAUAUGUUAUGUGGUAUUUUGGAAUAAAUAUUUAUAGAAAACAAUGAUCUGUUUGUUUAAAAACUACCGAUCUAAAAUGCUGCCCCGUCUCAUCCCUUCUUCCUGCUUUAUUUUCCUUCUCACUGUUUAUUCCCUGACAUGUUGUAAACUACACUUAUUUAUCUUGCAAAUGUUUCCUACUAGAACGUAAGGCCCAUGAGGGCGGACGUUUUGCCUCAUUCUCUUUGGAACAGUGGACACACAGGGACUUACACAAAUAUCUGUUGAAUGAAUGAAUGUACGCUUCACAUUUGAUGACUUACUAAUGUAAUGAUGUCUGACCAAUAGAUAAAUCUUUUUCCGUAUUAACUGAUUGGACAUGUUCCUUGAAGCCAUCACUGGGGGUCUGCUCUGAAGUUUAUGGAUCACUCAGGAUGGUGGGCUCAGGGCUCAGGUGGGUCCUAGGUUGCCUUGUUAGUAUCAGUCCAAGGUGUCUAUCAGAGUUGCUACCAAAAAGACGAUUUUCCAAGUCUUCAAAAAUGAACUGUUAGGGAGGAU
rnacentral:lncRNA from 1 species